UCUCCUCUCCCUACCUAGCCCCUAUACAUAGCCUUCUCUCUCUCUCUCCCCUUUCUCUCUCUAGACUUCCAGAUCUGUGAAGGCGAAUACGUUGUCGUGUGUUUGCGGCGGUCUCUAAUUCGCUUGGUGCAGGUCGGGAACUAUCGCCGCGCCGGCGGCUGAGCGAGCACGGUUGCGUCGUCGUCUCCGGCGAAUUUAGCUCCCGCCUUGCAUCAACUGAAUCGGAGCCCGCGGUGAAUUGUUUGUUGUCUCUCGAAUCCUGUACGCGCGAGUCAACUACGUAUUGGACUCGUCUUAUCUCUUAGGUUUGGAUUUGCUGAAUUUAUAACCGUUCUGUUUGUUUAUUUAUUUAUUUACAGUAUUUAUUUGUAGAAAUGAGCAUGGUUUUCUCUGGAUCUAAAUGGCUGGUAAGCUCCGCGUUUAGUCGCUUCUCUAGAUCUUGCAUUUAUGUAUAGUCAAUUUGCUUCACUGGAGAUUACAGCUGGAAUUGUUAUACUGUAAGUAAUUUUAAAACAGGGACUUGUUUGUUUGCUCAUUUUAAUUCACAUAAAUGUAAGAAAACGGGAUUCAGCUUAGCGUUGUUUAUAGUUAUCAAGCAUUUUUGCUAAUAUUGUGUCGGGAUUUUUCUUUUGUAUUCAUAAAUAUAAGAUAUGUUCUCUUCCUUACUCGGCGAAUGUGAUAGCAGAGCCAUAAAGUUGGUGAAACACAUACAGGUGAACAGCUUCUUUUUUCUCAUGGAUUAGACAUUAGUUAAUUAAAAUUACUUUCUUUGUUGAAUGAUUUUCUGCAUAUAUGCCCCCAAUCCCAAGUCUAACUGCUGCUCCAGUUGAAUCUGAGUUGGAGUUGGAUUACAGUAUUUGGAGAAUGAAAAAAAGAUUUGAUCUUGUUGCAUGUUUCCGGGUUUCCUUUAAAAAAAAAUAAAAUAAAAUUAAUGAGCAUAUAGAAUAAAUCCCAUAAGAAUAAAAGUUAUCCAGUAAAGGCUUAAUCAUAUCAGAAAGAGAGAACUUUCCUGAUUUGUGUCCUACUUUGGUGCCUUCCGUGUUUCUAUUGGUCCUUUCAUGACACCUGGGCCUUAUCUGUAUGGUCACAGAGUGCUUUAGUUGAAUACUUGAAUGUAGAUGCUGAGAGAGGGUGCAUUACUGACAGGGACAUCAUAUUUAUAAGACAUUUUCCAGUUGGAUGUACCCUGAGAGCUGUGUGUUGAGGUUUUAUGAUGUUUUUAGAUGAAAGGUUUUAGUUUUUAGUGUCUUUUGAUAAGCAAGCAAUCUCUGCAAGUCAGCCUGUGAAAGAGAAUGCAUGAUUGUUAACUAUUGGUAGAAAGUGAUUCAUUUUCAGACCUGCUGAUACUGUUUGCAACAUUGCACUGUUCUGGGCCAUGAUAAUAUUGGUUUCAUAGCUAGUUUUAGAUUUUGGAAUGAAUUUGUUUCCUUAUAUGAAGUCUCAAGUUUUUGUAGCACAAUCAACAAGAUGCAGGGCUUGCUAUCAGAUUGUAUUCCACGAGUCUUCGACUCUUCCCCUUUACAUCUUAUACCAUCAGCUUGAGCUUCCAUUUCAAUCUCUGUUCAAGCUCACAAACAACAAAAGAGUAAUCAUCUGUGUGCUGUCUCCAUUAUUUUCUCUGAUUGUCUCAGUAGAUGCAGGUGGGUUUUCUAGUAUCACUGGGGUUCGAUCUGUGACAUUCUCUCAAGAAAAGUCAGGUUCCAACCGAGCAGAAGGUGCAAUCUAGUUGAUAAGAAGCUUAUUAUUCUCUGACAUGAUCAAGUUCUGCAUUUUGGAAUCUUGUCAAAAGCCUUGCUUUCAUGGCAGCCCUGUAAUUGACAUAUCCAUAUUCUGUACAGAUCUUAGUUCUUACGUUAUGCAACUUGUACAGGAUUCAACAUUGUGUGACUAAUCUUAUUAGACUCAAUGAUUACUUCAUUAAUAUAAUAUAAUGCAGUUGCUUACAACUUU